GGGGAUUUAGCUCAGUGGUAGAGCACUUGCCUAGCAAGCGCAAGGAAGGCCCUGGGUUCGGUCCCCAGCUCCA
rnacentral:tRNA from 1 species